ACGGGAGGCAGCAGUGAGGAAUAUUGGUCAAUGGACGAGAGUCUGAACCAGCCAAGUCGCGUGAAGGAUGAAGGUUCUAUGGAUUGUAAACUUCUUUUAUUCGAGGGUAAAGUGACGGACGUGUCCGUUAUUGCAAGUAUCGAAUGAAUAAGCAUCGGCUAACUCCGUGCCAGCAGCCGCGGUAAUACGGAGGAUGCGAGCGUUAUCCGGAUUUAUUGGGUUUAAAGGGUGCGUAGGCGGGCGAUUAAGUCAGCGGUGAAAGCGUGUGGCUCAACCAUACCAAGCCGUUGAAACUGGUUGUCUUGAGUGUAAACGAGGUAGGCGGAAUGUGACGUGUAGCGGUGAAAUGCUUAGAUAUGUCACAGAACCCCGAUUGCGAAGGCAGCUUACCAGCAUACAACUGACGCUGAGGCACGAAAGUGUGGGGAUCAAACAGGAUUAGAUACCCUGGUA
rnacentral:rRNA from 1 species